rnacentral:rRNA from 1 species
UACGGAGGGUGCAAGCGUUGUUCGGAAUCACUGGGCGUAAAGGGCGUGCAGGCGGUCUGUUAAGUCUAGGGUGAAAGCUCCCGGCUCAACUGGGAGAGGUCCUUGGAUACUGGCAGACUUGAGGAGAGUAGAGGAGAGUGGAAUUCCCGGUGUAGUGGUGAUAUGCGUAGAUAUCGGGAGGAACACCAGUGGCGAAGGCGGCUCUCUGGGCUCUACCUGACGCUGAGACGCGAAAGCGUGGGGAGCGAACCGG